UACGUAGGUGGCAAGCGUUGUCCGGAUUUAUUGGGUUUAAAGGGUGCGUAGGCGGCCCUGUAAGUCAGUGCUGAAAUAUCCCGGCUUAACCGGGAGGGUGGCAUUGAUACUGCAGGGCUUGAGUACAGAUGAGGUAGGCGGAAUUGACGGUGUAGCGGUGAAAUGCAUAGAUAUCGUCAAGAACACCGAUAGCGAAGGCAGCUUACUGGGCUGUAACUGACGCUGAUGCACGAAAGCGUGGGGAGCGAACAGG
rnacentral:rRNA from 1 species